AGUGAACGCUGGCGGUAGGCCUAACACAUGCAAGUCGAACGGCAGCACAGUAAGAGCUUGCUCUUACGGGUGGCGAGUGGCGGACGGGUGAGGAAUACAUCGGAAUCUACUUUUUCGUGGGGGAUAACGUAGGGAAACUUACGCUAAUACCGCAUACGACCUACGGGUGAAAGCAGGGGAUCUUCGGACCUUGCGCGAUUGAAUGAGCCGAUGUCGGAUUAGCUAGUUGGCGGGGUAAAGGCCCACCAAGGCGACGAUCCGUAGCUGGUCUGAGAGGAUGAUCAGCCACACUGGAACUGAGACACGGUCCAGACUCCUACGGGAGGCAGCAGUUGGGAAUAUUGGACAAUGGGCGAAAGCCUGAUCCAGCCAUACCGCGUGGGUGAAGAAGGCCUUCGGGUUGUAAAGCCCUUUUGUUGGGAAAGAAAAGCAGCAGGUUAAUACCCCGCUGUUCUGACGGUACCCAAAGAAUAAGCACCGGCUAACUUCGUG
rnacentral:rRNA from 1 species